UUUUGAUACUUUCUUAUUGAAAACAUUUAGAGAUUUCAGUUGUCAAUGGAUAAGCUGCUGCCAAUAUGCUUGUUUCAUCAAGAUACUUUGGCAAUCUUUCAAUCAAUCCCACAAAGGUUUUGCCAUAUGCAACAGAAAAUGCCCACUUUGUGGGUGCAUUAAUUAGUAAAUUCUUCAAGUCUUUCACAGGCAUAGCUAGGCUAUAGCAGCUUAUCACUCUUAUUUAACAAAUACAAAUAAAAAUUGUUAGAUAGAAGUUGGUUUUUGAAGACCUUGCAUCUGCUUUCUUCUCUUCUUGAUUGAUUCAAGAUUAUUGUUGUUUGAUCCUGAAGGAUCCUUAAAGAGAGAGAGAUCAACAUGGGAAUCAUGCACGUCAAUCCGUUCUGUCAGCAGAACUGUCACAGGACUUGAAGGGCAGUAAUUGUAGUUCCCACAGGCUACUAGGUUGUACAAUGGAUUAACCAGUUUUGCUUCCAUCAUGUACUUAUGGUAUUUGAUUAUAUCAUCCUAGUGAAUUCAAAACACUAUAUCAAGAAGAUUACUUUCAAGGGUGAACAUAGCUUGAUAGCAAUUUUAUUUUUUCAUAAACAUUACCUUCUGAUUCUGAUUGAAGAAGCCUGUAACAUAGGCAAGGUGGGCGUCGGAUUUUGAUGGAAGUAACUCUUGUAAACCGCACCAGAGAGCAGACGCGCAAGCUAUACUUGGUCGACAUUCCACCGAUUGGCAAUCUAGUAUAGCUCCAAGAAGCAGCUCCGUGACUCGGGCAACCAAGUCCUUUCGAAGAUGAGACCUGGAGGGGUCGAUGUUAAUUGUGAGCAGCUCUACAUAGGAAUAAGCUGUGGUAGAGCCGAGGCGCCAUCCUAAUGCCUGUAACAGCAUCAGUUCCAUCCUCUGGAUUGUGAUUGAUUGAAAGGAAUGAUCCAAGUCCUCCAUCUGCAUUUCUUGCAAGGAAGGAGUAGAUAUCUCAAUAAACUUGGACGCAACAGAUAGACAAGCAACAGACAGCAAUUCAACCAUCCAAUUCUUCCAUCCGUGAGAUUGAUUUAUAGAUAUAAAUCGAUCGAGGUAAUUUGCUGCGUUGAAGAGGGUCACAAAAGAGAGGUUCAAUCGACUGCGAGACUUGAUAAGCCAUUGAAUCGCUUUGAAUCUGGCAAAGAACAAUUUUGUAGAAUGAAGAUGCUCUAGGUAUCCAUGUUCAGGCAUGUAAGUUAACUCCUUCUGUAAGCAUAAACAAAGGGCCUGCUCAAAGUCUUCUUUAGUGGUGUAGAACGAACCAAAGCAGUAGUAGCAUUCCACAUUAUUAUCACUAUUACAGCUAUCAGGAGUUGAAGGAGCAAUGGUGGAGAGCCAGACCUCAUCACAAAGCAAACUUUCCAUGCCUGGGUCUGAAGGGAAACAGCUAAAAACCUGUAGCAG
rnacentral:misc_RNA from 1 species